GGGUGAUGCAGCCAUUUGCAUGUGAGCUGUGAUGACCCCUACAAAGAGGCAUGGACGCAUGGUGACAUUGUGGAGCGCAGAUCAUCUGAGAUUCUGAAGAGAUUCCUUGACAAGGCUGCCAUCAUCUCAUCUGCUAAUGCCAAGAGUGAUCUUUUUACUAACCCAUGGAGGCUAUGCAGUCACCCAGGUGGAAGAACUAAAGAUCCUAGUAAGAAUGUUCCCGUUAUUUGCAACUACAAUCAUAUUC